CGAAAAGCGAAGACAAGAAGUAGUAAUGAGGCAGAAUUUCUAAAGAGAGCCAGUGGGUGGUGUGAACUGGUGAAGUUUCCUUAUGAAUCCAUCUUGGAGUGAGUGGUGGAAAGCAUAAUUUUGCGAGUAAAUCAUUCCGGUUGGGUCCGUUAAACCUAAAUGAAGCUGGGGAUUUUUGAAGUCCCAAUAAGGGUGGCAACGCGGUUAACUCUCGUCCCUUUC
rnacentral:ncRNA from 1 species